rnacentral:rRNA from 1 species
GACGAACGCUGGCGGCGUGCCUAAUACAUGCAAGUAGAACGCUGAAGGAGGAGCUUGCUUCUCCGGAUGAGUUGCGAACGGGUGAGUAACGCGUAGGUAACCUGCCUGGUAGCGGGGAUAACUAUUGGAAACGAUAGCUAAUACCGCAUAAGAGUAGAUGUCGCAUGACAUUUGCUUAAAAGGUGCAACUGCACCACUACCAGAUGGACCUGCGUUGUAUUAGCUAGUUGGUGAGGUAACGGCUCACCAAGGCAACGAUACAUAGCCGACCUGAGAGGGUGAUCGGCCACACUGGGACUGAGACACGGCCCAGACUCCUACGGGAGGCAGCAGUAGGGAAUCUUCGGCAAUGGACGGAAGUCUGACCGAGCAACGCCGCGUGAGUGAAGAAGGUUUUCGGAUCGUAAAGCUCUGUUGUAAGAGAAGAACGAGUGUGAGAGUGGAAAGUUCACACUGUGACGGUAUCUUACCAGAAAGGGACGGCUAACUACGUG